AUUUUUAACUCUUAAUUUAUGCCACAAAUAUUCUGCAAUUCUUUCUGCAGAUUAGUAAUAGAUGUGGCUCAUCUCCCUUCUUGAGUACAUAGAAAAGGAAACUCUGAAUAGCUCUAAUUCUUCUCUAGUAGGCAUGCUUUGAAGUGCUGACUGGAUUGAGUCCCUGCAGAGAGAUGGAUGGAUAAAUUGUGGAUUAUCAUCAGCCUUCACCACCACCAACACAGAGUUGCUCAGUGCUGUGAAAACUGAGAUAUUGCUCUACAUACCCAGUAGCAGAAGAGAAAAUGCUUUUUAAGAUAAGGUACCAAGGAACAUAUAAAGCUUUAGUAGCAAUUCAACAGGACUCACAGGAUUGUGGUGCUAAUUAGAAGUCCCUGAACUCUGCCUAAGGAAUUUUGGAAUUUAGUCAAAGGGCAGACCGCUGUGGAUGAAGGUUAUGGAACAGAUGAGCCAAGCCCUGCCAUUGUCCUUGUCCUUCUGCUGGACAUUCACACCAGGUAUCUAUGCAGACACACAAUAUCUAUCCACCUGCCUUUGACCACACUGUUAUAUGUUUUGGAUUCUCAGUGGUUAACCCUACACCAGAAGAUCAUUAACUGCAGGUGUGAGAACCGGAGGCUGAAAACACAGGCUCAAAAGAACACACUGCACCUCAGUGCUGCUGGAGUAAUGCCUGCAGAGGCAAAGUUUAGCACAUGGGCUGUGGGAAAAGUUGCCAUGUGCAAGAACUUGGAGGAAACCUACCUCUUCCCUUGAUCCCACCGGCCUGCAGGGUCUGGCCCUGGCGUCUAGGGCUGUGGUCACAAUUUUGAAGUCUACCAGCACAAGAAAGCAACUUUUACCUCUGGAUCAAGGCUAGGCAACCAGAUGAAAGCAGUUCAGUUACUAAACCUGUUUUCACUUUCAAAACUGAUACAGCUGUGAAUCACCUCAAAAUGAAAUAAAGCUCUUCUGUUCUCACA
rnacentral:lncRNA from 1 species